rnacentral:misc_RNA from 1 species
AUCCCGUCGUGUGAAACGUCUUCCCGAACGAGCUAAUCACGCACGCGCGUUGCCGCAAUUCCGGAUACCGGAACACGCUUUCAUGCCGCCGCCCGUCGAAGAUCACGUGUUCAUACACUUCAUCCGCGAUCACGACGAUGUCGGUUCCGUCGACGAGCGCAGUCAACUUGCGCAGAUCAUCGGCCGACCAUGUGACGCCGGUCGGGUUGUGCGGCGUGUUGACGAGAAUCACCUUGGUGCGCGGCGUCACCGCGCGCUUCACCUCGUCCCAGUCGACGGUGUAGU